rnacentral:lncRNA from 1 species
AAACUUCUCAUUGACAAUCUAUGUAACCAUUUCUGGCUGUCCUGGACUGGCUUUGUGGACCAGGCUGGAUUUGAACUCACAGAGAUCUGCCUGCCUCUACCUCCCAAGUGCUGGGAGCAAAGGUGUCUGUCACCAUGCCCAGCUAUUUCAGAGCAUUCUUACAUCAUAUUAUUACAGUAAAACAGUUUGUUUACAAAGGAAAUAAGUGGAAGAUAUAUAUUGACUCACCGAGGGUCUUAGCAGACUCCUGCAAGAGAGCAUAUUAGGUCGUUCUCCAAGAAGAAGAGACCGAAUUCAUGAACUGAGUGAGCGGGAGCUUGCCUAUAAUCCCAGCUCUUGAGGACAAAGGUGGGGACUAGUGGGCAGAGUUUGAAGCUAGCCUGGACUGCUUAGUGAGACCCUGUCUGAAACAAAACUAAACUGAGUGCUUCCCAUGGGCCAAACACUAUAUAGUAGAAAUACAAUUACAAAGGAGGGAAAAGACCCCUGUGUCCUGAAAACCCACAAUCUACCAUUUACAUAGACACAGUUGCCAUGUGUAAUGUGGUACUUUCUGUGAAAACAGAGUAUAAGACAUGGAUAGUUGAGCAUUUCUCAAAGGAAGAAUGAUGCAGCCACAUCAUGAAGGAUUUAUCUGGAGACACAUUUUUUUCCAUAUGUAGAAUCUACAUGUGAAUAAAAAUACAUAUACAAAC